rnacentral:tRNA from 1 species
GGAUCCGUGGCUUAGCCUGGAUAGAGUUUAUGAGAAAAUAUAUCUCCUUGAAAGAGCGGCGGCCUUCUAAGUCGCAGGUCGGGGGUUCAAAUCCCCUCGGAUCCGCCA